UCUGGUGCCAGCAGCCGCGGUAAUUCCAGCUCCAAUAGCGUAUAUUAAAGUUGUUGCAGUUAAAAAGCUCGUAGUUGAAGUUCUGAUCGUUCAGGUCCUCAGCCUUAGGCGGGGAUUCUGACGGUCAUCCGCUUGCAAACAUAUGUUCGAUCUUCACCGGUUGGCUAUGUGAGUAAGCAAUUUACCUUGAGAAGAACAGAGUGUUCCAGGCAGGUUUGUCCGGAAUGCAUUAGCAUGGAAUAAUAGAACAUGACUGAAGUCUAUUUAUUGGUUUAAGGCUUUAGUAAUGAUUAAUAGGAACAUUCGGGGGCAUUCGUACUCAGCAGUCAGAGGUGAAAUUCUAAGAUUUGCUGAAGACGAACUAAUGCGAAAGCAUUUGCCAAGGAUGUUUUCAUUAAUCAAGAACGAAAGUUAGGGGAUCAAAGACGAUCAGAUACCGUCCUAGUCUUAACUAUAAACGAUGCCGACUCGGAUUCAGAUGAAUCAAAAAGUUCAUUUGGGACCGUAGGAGAAAUCAAAGUCUUUGGGUUCUGGGGGGAGUAUGGUCGCAAGGCUGAAACUUAAAGGAAUUGACGGUUUUGCACCACCAUGGAGUGGAGUCUGCGGCUUAAUUUGACCCAACACUGGGAAACUCAUCAGGGCAAGAAGAUUUUAGGAUUGACAGAUUGAGAGUUCUUUCUUGAUUGGUCUAGUGGUGGUGCAUGGUCGUUCUUAGUUGGUGGAGUGAUUUGUCUGGUUAAUUCCGUUAACGAACGAGACCUUAACCUGCUAACUAGUGCUUCGAUCUCUAAUCGAAGGCACUUCUUAGAGGGACUAUGUGUGGUAAUCACAUGGAAGUUUGAGGCAAUAACAGGUCUGUGAUGCCCUUAGAUGUCCUGAGCUGCACGCGUACUACAAUGGCACUUUCAACAAGUCUUUCCUGAUCCGAAAGGAUUUGGGUAAUCUUUUUAGGGAGUGCCGUGCUUGGGAUAGAUCUUUGUAAUUGUGGAUCUUGAACUAGGAAUUCCUAGUAAGCGCGAGUCAUCAUCUCGUGCUGAUUACGUCCCUGCAAAAUGUACACACCGCCCGUCGCUUUUACCGAUUGAGUGUUCAGGUGAGUCUUCUUGAUAGCUUUUCUAAAAAUUAAACAAACCUUAGCACUUAGAGGAAAAAGAAGUCGUAACAAGGUUUCCGUAGGUGAACCUGCGGAAG
rnacentral:rRNA from 1 species